AGGUAGUAUUAUCAAAAUAAACCUAUUUAUAACGGCGGCUUUUAUCUAAUUAGAGGAACUUGUCCCUUAAUCGAUAUUCCACGAUAAUUUUCACUUAAAUUAAUAAUUUAUAUACCGUCAUCUUAAGAAUUUAUUAUAAUAUUUUCUCUUAAUAAUAAAUAAAAAGUUAGAUCAAGGUGUAAUCUACAUUUAAGCUAAAGAUGAGUUACAUUAAAUAUUAUUUAAAGAAUAAUUUUUAAAAAAAUUAAGAAAGAGGAUUUAUUAGUAAUAUAAUAAUAAUAUUCUUCUAUGAAAGAGAUAGUAAAAGUGC
rnacentral:rRNA from 1 species